rnacentral:rRNA from 1 species
GAUGAACGCUAGCGAUAGGCCUAACACAUGCAAGUCGAACGGAAGCAGCAAUGCUUUAGUGGCGAACGGGUGAGUAACACGUAGGGAACCUACCUAUACGACGAGGAUAACUACUGGAAACGGUAGCUAAAACUGGAUAGGAUCAAUUGAGGCAUCUUGAUUGAUUUAAAGAUCCUUCGGGAUUACGUAGAGAUGGCCCUGCGGCGCAUUAGCUAGUUGGUGAGGUAACGGCCCACCAAGGCGACGAUGCGUAGCUGAGCUGAGAGGCUAAACAGCCACACUGGGACUGAGACACGGACCAGACUCCUACGGGAGGCAGCAGUGAGGAAUAUUGGUCAAUGGACGCAAGUCUGAACCAGCCACGUCGCGUGAAGGAAGACGGCCCUACGGGUUGUAAACUUCUUUUAUACGGGAAUAAAGUGCCCCACGCGUGGGGUUUUGGCAUGUACCGUAUGAAUAAGGAUCGGCUAACUCCGUGCCAGCAGCCG